GUCCCCGCCCCACGUUUGGUUCGUGGUACCUCCAGGUCUGAGGCGGGCGGCCGGGCGCUGUGUUCGUUGUGUGCGCGCGGUGUUUUUGGUUGCUUUGGCCUUCUUGCUACUCUCCGGUCCUUCCGCCAGCCUCGAGCCCUCACCACUCUCGGUAUCUGUGAUUGUCUUCAGGGAAAGAUUUCUACAAGUGAGAUUGCUAGAGUAAACGCUGCACUGCACAGCAUAUGGGAUCUUAGUUCCCUGACCAGGGAUCAAACCUGCAUUCUCUGCAUUGGAAGUGUGGAGUCUUAACCGCUGGACUACCAGGGAAGUCCCUCCUCUUCUUUAAUAUAAUAAUUAGUUGGUAGCAAAUCUCUAUUUUAAAAUUAUUUCUUAUCUGUAUAUAAAAUGUGGCAUUUUGUAUAAGAAAUAGGAAAAAAUAAGAAUGUAAUUAUAUGUAUUUGAUUAGUUUUGCAAUGAGAAAACAAAAGAAGGGUAAAUCAGAAACUAAUGAAAAUAGUUACAGGUUAGGGAUAGGUGGGAAAGGCUAGGAUGUGAGCCAGACUUCUCUGAAUAUACCUUUUCAUACAGUCUUCACUUCUGAGGCAUGUAAAUAUUCUAUGAAUUUAAAAAUUAAAAUUAAUAUUAACUCAAAAGAUAAAGACGAGUCAAACCUUAAAAUUGAAUACAAAUGGCAAAAAUCAAUAUCAUAUUUAUAACACAGGCACAGAAAAAAUUAAUUAAAGUAACUUUUGAACACUGCGCUGAAUAAAAACAGAAAGAACUAAAAAGAAGUCUUGAACUUUCCCGAGUGGGUUUAUCAGAGAUGGCAAUUUGGUAUAGUGAUUCUGGAAGUAUUUUGUUGUGUUGUAGCAUAAGGCAAAUGAGUAACUGUACUGAUGCUUUUUAGAACCAGAGUUCUUUGUAGGAGAAGAGGGAUACAAAUAAAAAUGGGGAAGAUAAGGAAAAAUCCUAUGGUGUUGAUUCAAUCUGGAUGUAUCAAUAUUAUUUUUAAAUAUAUAUAUAUAAAUAUAUAGGUAUUUCCUUGCUUUUAAAGAUAUAUAUAGUAUGUUAUGUGUGUGUAUAUAUAUAUAUAUAUAUAUAUUUCCUUGCUUUUUCUGUUGAAUGGGCCUAUAAGCAGUGACACCCCAGUAACAGUGAGCACAGCUAGCACCAUUAUUCAGUUUCUAAAUACCAUUCCCCAGUGAAAGGCACCAGGACUCCUGGGAGAAAUGGUUAAUUCCAGGUCUGAGGCAGCUGUGUAGGGAUAGUACAGGAUGACUCAAUGUCCUCCCAAACAAGGAAUUACUCAAAGACAAAUGGGGACAUGUCAACAGAAUACAGAAGCUGGCUUAAAAGAGCUUCUCCUGGGCAAAUUUGGGACAGUUUGAGCAUUAAAAAGAAUUGGGACAGAAACGGAUCAUAACAGUGUCAGUAACAACACAAAUUCCAGGAACUUAACUUCAUACACCUCCACCCCACCCACCCCAGAUAUUCUGACAAAUAGGUCUGGGGUCGGGUUUGAGAAUUUUACAUUUCUUUUUUUUUUUUUUUACAUCUUUAUUGGAAUAUAAUUGCUUUACAAUGGUGUGUUAGUUUCUGCUUUAUAACAAAGUGAAUCAUUUAUACAUAUACAUAUGUUCCCAUAUCUCUUCCCUCUUGAGUCUCCCUGCCUUCCACCCUCCCUAUCCCACCCCUCCAGGUGGUCACAAAGCACUGAGCUGAUCUCCCUGUGCUAUGCGGCUGCUUCCUACUAGCUAUCUAUUUUACGUUUGGUAAAAUAGUGUAUAUAUGUCCAUGCCUCUCUCUUGCUUUGUCACAGCUCACCCUUCCCCCUCCCCAUAUCCUCAAGUCCAUUCUCUAGUAGGUCUGUGUCUUUAUUCCUGUCUUACCCCUAGGUUCUUCAUGAGAUUUUUUUUUUCUUAGAUUCCAUAUAUAUGUGUUAGCAUACGGUAUUUGUUUUUCUCUUUCUGACUUACUUCACUCUGUAUGAUAGUCUCUAGGUCCAUCCACCUCACUACAAAUAACUCAAUUUCAUUUCUUUUUAUGGCUGAGUAAUAUUCCAUUGUAUAUAUGUACCACAUCUUCUUUAUCCAUUCAUCCGAUGAUGGACAUUUAGGUUGUUUCCAUCUCCUGGCUAUUGUAGAUAGAGCUGCAAUGAACAUUUUGGUACAUGACUCUUUUUGAAUUAUGGUUUUCUCAGGGUAUAUGCCCAGU